GUGCUCGCUUUGGCAGCACAUAUACUAAAAUUGGAAUGAUACAGAGAAGAUUAGCAUGGCCCCUGCACAAGAAUGACACACAAAUUCGCGAAGCGUUCCAUAUUUUU
ensembl:snRNA U6 U6 spliceosomal RNA